rnacentral:rRNA from 1 species
AAUCAACGCUGGCGGCGUGCCUAACACAUGCAAGUCGAACGGGAAAGGAUCCUUCGGGAUCUGAGUAGAGUGGCGAACGGGUGAGUAACGCGUGGGUGAUCUGCCCUUGGGUGGGGGAUAACUUCGCGAAAGCGGAGCUAAUACCGCAUGAGCCUGCAUUUGUAAGCGAGUGCAGGGAAAGCCUUCGGGUGCCGAAGGAGGAGCCCGCGUCCGAUUAGCUAGUUGGUGGGGUAAGAGCUUACCAAGGCGACGAUCGGUAGCCGGUCUGAGAGGACGGACGGUCACACUGGGACUGAGACACGGCCCAGACUCCUACGGGAGGCAGCAGUGGGGAAUUUUGGGCAAUGGGCGCAAGCCUGACCCAGCAACGCCGCGUGGAGGAUGAAGGUUUUCGGAUCGUAAACCCCUGUCUAGAGGGACGAAGUAAGUGACGGUACCUCUGGAGGAAGCCCCGGCUAACUCCGUG